rnacentral:lncRNA from 1 species
CCAACUCAAAUUCAUCCUUAAUUUCUCCUAUAACAAAAUUCAUCAAAAUUUAAUAAGAAAUACAUCAAAUUCCAUGACCGAAUUUGCAUUUAUAAAAAAAAAACAAAAUCCUUGCAUCUCGUCAAUAUGUCCAAUUGCAAAAAUUGCUUAAUUCAUCACCUAAGCAACAUGAAACUCCAUUACAAUCACAAUUAUUCAUUCCUUAAAACCAACAUUCAACUAUCAAUAAUUUAGCAAAACUCAUGUAAAUGGCCGAAUGCUAUAUCCACAACCAAAACUAAAGUUUUAACAUGGGCUACGUAGGAAACUAUGUAAUUAACUAAAUUUUCACAAGAAUUUGAAGAUAGCACAUGAAACAUACCUUAAUUUGGAUGCUAAAA